CAAAGGGUGGGGCUAAAAUAAUAAACUCAGCUGAAUAUUGCAUUUUUUAAGGUCACGUAUCUGUUCUAAAAAGGUGUUCAAAAAAUGCGAUGACGUCACACUGUCAGAGGUACUGCUUUACGGCAGUUUCUGAAUCACUUCGGCACUUCCUUUUUCCCCGCCACGUGGAGGUAAGGCUUUUUUUUUUGCUUAAUGCACUUGUUAGAGUUUUAGUGAGUUAAUGUCAAAACAACAAAUGGGCGAAUGUUUCACAUAUGUAUGUUACUUACAGAGUGUUUUUUUUCUAUCUAGUGCUAGCUGAUAUCAGCUGACUGGAUGCUGGCUGUCGGUUGAUUAUCGGCUAUGUAGCCUAGCCAAUUUAUGGUGGCUAUUGAAAAGUAAAAGAACGGAAUAAUUUGAAGACCGCUCCAUCUAGCUCCCUCCACAGCCAGACACAGCAACGAUCCUCCAGCUCCAUUCAGGCCGUGAAGGUGGACAGCUUUCUCUGAGCUGCUUUGGCCGUUUGCUGUUUGCUCAGCCUCCUGUUCCUCUCACGGAUUUCCCCCCCGAGCCUGCACAUCACAAAUUUUUUUAUUGCUAUUGUCUCCAAUAGAAUUGCAUGCUCAGGGUGUGAGCUGAAGAGGCUUUUGAACACCCCCAGACUGCCCAGAGCCCUCUCCAUUUUUUUGGUGAUCUGGGUGAGAGGCCAGAAAGCGUCGAUGUUCCGUCCAAAUUCCCUCUCCAAAAGCUGGAUGGCAGCGAAAAACCCUUCCGAAGGCCUCAUUAGGUUUGCCGUUGCCGUGUAUUUUUUUGCCUCCAGGAAGGGGUGGUCCUCACUUGUGGCGUAGCUGUGGUCCUGAUGUCUGGCACCCAACAACAGCACCUCACAGUGUGGACAGGCCUGAACAAUUUCCUCCUUUUGAAGGACCCGGACAAGCCAGCCAGCAACGUAGAACAGGCCCUCCUCCUGGAUGCAAUCGCCAACAGUCUACAAGGUGGUAGGGAGGGCCAUUGAGGUCAUUGGAGCUGUUGAGGUGGAGGGGAUUGCGUCCUCUGACAUACUGGCUAGGAGGGUUGUCCCGUCAUCCAGCUCGCAGUUUGAUGCAGUCGAUGCAGAAAGAGCAGAAGGUGAGGGACAUCAAAAAUCACAGGAACCCUCUGAACCCCCACCAGGAUACAGUGGGACUCCUCACCUCCCAGAGGGUCCAGGCUAGCCCCAAGGUUCCGCACAGCCUUCACAUUAGGGCUUCCCUGGUCACAUAUUACUGCCUGCACCUUUGAAAUUGGUUAAUACAUUGUUGUCAAUACAAGGUUGGAGUUAAUGUUCAUUUGUUCAUUGUUAAUGCUGCUAUUUAAAAAAUAAAUAAUAAUACAACUCUUCGCACUACAUACUGUCAGCCCUAUAUGAUGUAGGUGGCGAAUGGCAUCCUUAAUGACGGUAGCAAUAUCAUCUGCUGGCAUUGAAGAUGGGGAAAAGAAGUAACCAACCGUCUGUUGAAAGAAAUGCCUUAGGACGAGCGUACACAUCCUCUCCACAGGGGUCAUGGUGGCGGCGAUGACUCCCAUUUGGGAGAUGAUUCCCUGUAGGAAGCCAGGCUGUCAGGAAAUAAAAG